AGAAAAAAAACUCUCAGAGCAGUCCGUUCACGCACUUGCUGAUUGAUAACCGCACUGAAAACCGCUAAGAACACGCCGUAGGGUUUUUACCGAUAGUUGCCCUCGUCUGUUGAGUUAGAUCGCAACUAGUGCAUACUGUAGUUCGCGCGCUUUUUCAGCAGAGUGCUUAAACAAAAAGAAAAGGAAAAGCUACGCAUUUGUCAGUAUUAGCGUGCUUAACUCUCUUAAUUGCUGUUUGAGCAGAAGUAUAAAAACAGAAAAAAUAAUUGUACAGCAACCUUUUACGUCUUUUUGCGCGCGCCUAUGGUUGAAUCUCGACGAUCGUUUCUGCCUGAAAGCAAACGGCGCAUUAUUAUUAUUGUUUUUUUUGUUUGCGCACUCAUGAUUCUAGCCACCCUACUCAUGAAGGGGGAUUAUCCAAGGUUUGCCGUGAAAAUACAAAAUGGCUACGUCCCGCUUAUUUGAUCGACAGUCGCAUUUCAGCGAUGGUUCGUACACGUGCUCACAAUUCACACCAUGUAUGCACUAUGCACUGCAUCCUUAGACCGCACAAAAAGUUAGUUUUCAUCUCAUGACUUUUGCUUUCUUUAAAUUUCGCAGUAAAAUAAAUGUACUGUGCUCUACCAUAGUGCAUAUGAAUGGGUAAAAGUGCCAACUACAAUCACGGAGUACAGUAGCGUAGCCAGGGGCGGGGGACAACGAGCACGUGACCGCUUCCCCCAAGAUUUCUUAGUAUGCCGAGUGCCUAGUCCCCACCGCCCCGCGAAGAAAGAAAUAUCUGGGUAUGCCGCAGAAUUGUCACAGCUGCUCAACAGCCAUCAAAUUCCGGUUCCCGUCCUGACGAUGAUCCAGAAUCGUCGCCAGCAAUAGCUAAACUCAUCAAGAAGGAGAUUAAGCAGGAACGCUCAGAAAUAGGUGAAACCAUUAAGGAGGAGGUGAAGCGAGAACGUCCAGAAAUAGGUGAACACAUUAAGCAAGAGGCCAAGCGAAAACGCCCAGAUAUAAAUGAACCCAUCAAGAAGGAAGUGGAGCGGGAACGCCCAAAAACAGGUGAACCCAUUAAAACAGAUCUCGAGGUGAAGCAGCAACCCCCAGAGAGCCAUGAUACACCUGUAGUUGAAGCUGAUAAUGUUUCAGGCACAGCUUCGCACGACCACCCCAAUUCCUUUGAGUCAACGACUAAGCAGGGUGUGACACCAUGUUUUGCAGCUGACCAAGUGAAAAGUACACCCGCAUUCCACAGUGCACCAGCCAGUUUAACCCUGCAGAAUCAGAGCCCAGUGAGCACACCAGGAUGGUCCGUGAUCACGCCAGAUCCACUGCUGGUGGAAUUGCAGAGCUCUGCCCAGAGAAAGCGCAGGCCACGACACAAGAAGAAGAAGCCAGCUGAAUACUGCAUGCAAGUCGCCGAGUCAACGAGCUCGCCACAACUGCCUCUGGGCUGCAUGCCCUCGUAUCUUGCUCAAGCAGACUUGUCAACUGGAAAGCGGCGUUGUUUUGAUGGUGACGCACCAGGCGAAGCCAAAGAAGUAGCUCUGCAGGAGAAUGCUGUACCCACACCUGCUAAACCACCACCUUGCAUUGUUCAUUUGGCAGUGUCAACCAAGAACACAGAGAAAGGAUGUCAGCCCCCAGUCGAGAAUGGCCAGGAUUCACAGGUACCUGUUGCAGCCAGCUGCCAUAGCGCGAUCCAUCCCCCUCCAGAAGCUGUCACAUCGAAAGCCAAGAUUCAAAAGGUAGUGAAAAAAAUAAGUGCUAUGGUUAAAUCCCGAUUUACCGAAGAUGAUUGGGCCCAAGAUUUUUUUAGUUAAAUCAGGAACUUUGUUGAAAACACGUGAGACACGUGAAAUUAAAAACACCAGCUGAAAUACCCAUGCAAACGAUAUACUUGUUCAAAAAAUAAAAUUGUCAUCUUUGCU